rnacentral:rRNA from 1 species
GAUGAACGCUGGCGGCGUGCCUAAUACAUGCAAGUCGAGCGAACAGACGAGGAGCUUGCUCCUCUGACGUUAGCGGCGGACGGGUGAGUAACACGUGGAUACCCUACCUAUAAGACUGGGAUAACUUCGGGAAACCGGAGCUAAUACCGGAUAAUAUAUUGAACCGCAUGGUUCAAUAGUGAAAGACGGUUUUGCUGUCACUUAUAGAUGGAUCCGCGCCGGAUUAGCUAGUUGGUAAGGUAACGGCUUACCAAGGCAACGAUGCGUAGCCGACCUGAGAGAGUGAUCGGCCACACUGGAGGUGAGACACGGUCCAGACUCCUACGGGAGGCAGCAGUAGGGAAUCUUCCGCAAUAGUCGAAAGCUUGACGGAGCGAGGCCGCGUGAGUGAUGAAGGUCUUCGGAUCGUAAAGCUCUGUUAUUAGGGGUGAACAAAUGUGUAAGGAACUAUGCACGUAGUGACGGUACCUGAUCAGAAAGCCACGGCUAACUACGUG